UAUGUGAAUUGCAGAAUUCAGUGAAUCAUCGAAUCUUUGAACGCACAUUGCGCCCCUUGGUAUUCCGAGGGGCAUGCCUGUUCGAGCGUCAUUACACCACUCAAGCUCGGCUUGGCAAUGGGUCUACGCCCCCGGGCGUGCCUAAAAGUUAGUGGCGAUGCCGCCUGGCUUCAAGCGUAGUAAUUGUUUUCGCUUUGGAAGUUGGGUGUGACAUCUGCCAACCAAAAACCCCCAAUUCAAAGGUUGACCUCGGAUCAGGUAGGGAUACCCGCUGAACUUAAGCAUAUCAAUAAGCGGAGGAAAAGAAACCAACAGGGAUUGCCUCAGUAACGGCGAGUGAAGCGGCAACAGCUCAAAAUUUGAAAUCUGGCUCCCCCGGGGCCCCUAGUUGUAGUUUGUAGAGGAUGCUUGCGGGUGCGGUGCCGGUCUUCCCUUGGAACAGGACGUCCUAGGGUUAGAAUUCCCGUUUGUUACCGGAUUCCUUUCCCUGUCUCCUUCGACAGUUAUU
rnacentral:rRNA from 1 species